rnacentral:rRNA from 1 species
GAUGAACGCUGGCGGCGUGCUUAACACAUGCAAGUCGAACGGUGAAGCAGAGCUUGCUCUGUGGAUCAGUGGCGAACGGGUGAGUAACACGUGAGCAACCUGCCCCCGACUCUGGGAUAAGCGCUGGAAACGGCGUCUAAUACUGGAUAUGAGCUGCGACCGCAUGGUCAGCAGUUGGAAAGAUUUUUCGGUCUGGGAUGGGCUCACGGCCUAUCAGCUUGUUGGUGAGGUAAUGGCUCAGCAAGGCGUCGACGGGUAGCCGGCCUGAGAGGGUGACCGGCCACACUGGGACUGAGACACGGCCCAGACUCCUACGGGAGGCAGCAGUGGGGAAUAUUGCACAAUGGGCGAAAGCCUGAUGCAGCAACGCCGCGUGAGGGAUGACGGCCUUCGGGUUGUAAACCUCUUUUAGCAGGGAAGAAGCGAAAGUGACGGUACCUGCAGAAAAAGCGCCGGCUAACUACGUG